AUGAAGACUGAACAGGAAGUGCCACAAGUUCCAGUGGAUGCUGAAAUGAAAAUGAUCCUUCCUGACAAAAGUCUCCACCAUUACACCAGUAAACAAUUAGGUUCCCAAUCUGUUCCAAAUACGGAUCCAGCAGAAAAACCAGUGCUGGCUGCCUUCAUGCCCAAAGUUCAUCUGCACAGAUUACAGCUCCAGCAGCCGUCAGUCACUGAUUGUGUUUUCAGUGAGAGGAAGAAUGUGGAGCAGCUGCUCCCAGAGCGUCUCCACAUAAAGGAGGAACCAGAGACGUUCAGUGAAGGUCAGGAGGAAAAGCAGCUUUGUGUGCAGCAGGAGACAAACAGUGCUGCUUGUCCUGUUAAAUGUGAAGAUGAAGAUGAAGAGGAGAAGCCUCAGGCCUCCCAGCUCCACUGGAGACCACAAACACAAAUGAACAUGAAGGAGGAACCUUCAACCUGCACUUUAAAUGGAUUAAUGACAAGACAAAGUGUGGGAAUGAACAGCAAAGGACCAGAAACAGCCCAGAACCCAGAUCAUAGCAGUUUAGUUCUACAAGGUCCUGAUGGAACAGAAACAGACUUGUCUCAGACUGAACAUAAUAGUGAUGAUGAUGAUGAUGAAGACUCUGAUUGUUGGCUGAAACCUGUGUCAGAGUCUGAAACUGAAGCUGAAACUGAAGCUGACUUUGACUUCACUAGGAAAAAGGCAAAAAUGUGUGACUCAAGUAAAAAUGCUGAAAUGGUAUGUAAAGCUUCUAAAACACACAUUAGUUCAUUUCAACAGAUUUGUUCAAAGAAGAAGGUUCAGGUAAAAAUAACAUCUGAAUGUGUGGGUGGUGAGAAAGCAUCACUCAGUUCAGCUUCAAAACUGAAAAACCACACAGUACAGAAACCCAUUCUGUGUGAUAUUUGUGGAAAAUGUUUUAACCAAAAGGCUUCACUGAAAGCACACAUGAGAAUCCACACAGGAGAGAAACCAUUCAAAUGUGAUGUUUGUAGUAAAUGUUUUCAUCACCUUCACAAACAUAAUCUACUUCUGAGAAAAAACUAG
rnacentral:lncRNA from 1 species